UCUGAUACUCCAGUAUGGGAAGGGAGGGUUUAUUACUGCUUCUGGGAGGGAAAUGGCCACUGAUACUCCAGUAUGGGAAGGUAGGGUUUGUUACUGCUUCUGGGAGGGAAAUGGCCACUGAUACUCCAGUAUGGGAAGGUAGGGUUUGUUACUGCUUCUGGGAAGGUAAUGGCCACUGAUACUCCAGUAUGGGAAGGUAGGGUUUGUUACUGCUUCUGGGAGGGAAAUGGCCACUGAUACUCCAGUAUGGGAAGGGAGGGUUUGUUACUGCUUCUGGGAAUGUAAUGGCCACUGAUACUCCAGUAUGGGAAGGGAGGGUUUGUUACUGCUUCUGGGAGGGAAAUGGCCACUGAUACUCCAGUAUGGGAAGGGAGGGUUUGUUACUGCUUCUGGGAGGGAAAUGGCCACUGAUACUCCAGUAUGGGAAGGUAGGGUUUGUUACUGCUUCUGGGAGGGUAAUGGCCACUGAUACUCCAGUAUGGGAAGGGAGGGUUUGUUACUGCUUCUGGGAAGGUAAUGGCCACUGAUACUCCAGUAUGGGAAGGGAGGGUUUGUUACUGCUUCUGGGAAGGUAAUGGCCACUGAUACUCCAGUAUGGGAAGGGAGGGUUUGUUACUGCUUCUGGGAAGGUAAUGGCCACUGAUACUCCAGUAUGGGAAGGUAGGGUUUGUUACUGCUUCUGGGAAGGUAAUGGCCACUGAUACUCCAGUAUGGGAAGGUAGGGUUUGUUACUGCUUCUGGGAAUGUAAUGGCCACUGAUACUCCAGUAUGGGAAGGUAGGGUUUGUUACUGCUUCUGGGAAUGUUAAUCCCUCUGAUACUCCAGUAUGGGAGGGUAAUGGCCACUGAUACUCCAGUAUGGGAAGGUAGGGUUUGUUACUGCUUCUGGGAAGGUAAUGGCCACUGAUACUCCAGUAUGGGAAGGUAGGGUUUGUUACUGCUUCUGGGAAUGUAAUGGCCACUGAUACUCCAGUAUGGGAAGGGAGGGUUUGUUACUGCUUCUGGGAAUGUAAUGGCCACUGAUACUCCAGUAUGGGAAGGUAGGGUUUGUUACUGCUUCUGGGAAUGUAAUGGCCACUGAUACUCCAGUAUGGGAAGGGAGGGUUUGUUACUGCUUCUGGGAAGGUAAUGGCCACUGAUACUCCAGUAUGGGAAGGGAGGGUUUGUUACUGCUUCUGGGAAGGUAAUGGCCACUGAUACUCCAGUAACAAAGGAAAAGCAAAGGGUUUUUACCUCUCCUCAGGGGAAGAAAUGACAGAAGAGAAUGUGCAGGUCCGUUGGUUUCCCAAAGAGAGACAGAGUAAUGUUACUGCCCCCUCAAUAGACCGUAGGACUCGUGUCCCCCAUGAUAAGUACUAGACUCCUUUUGGUUAAGGUAAUGUCUGUGUCUGAUACUCUCUCCUGUAAGCCCCGCCCCCUGAGCAAUAGUAGCGGUCUGUUACUCCCCCCUGUAGUAAGCGCUGUGUAUUCAUUCCCCCCCCGGGAAGACUUUCCCUAGCAACACAGUUAAUGCUGCUCCAGAGAAGGCUUGUUACCCCUCCGCAACAAUGGGCUCAGAGCAUUUAUUUAUGACUUGGGUACUUAGUAUUAAUGUAAAUUGCAGUAUUUUAUUUACCAAAGAAUAAAUAUGUAUAAACAUAUUAACACCU